rnacentral:lncRNA from 1 species
AAAAAAAAUCAUGUGUGAUAAUAUGUAAGCCCAUAAUUUAAAAGAUUAUUUUAUAUGUUCCAAAUUUUUAAAAAUAAAAAACGAAAUUAGCAAGAAAGAUUUAACAAAGAACAAACGUAAGCGGUUAAAAUAUUACGACUACGGAUUACAAAUGUGUUUACUUACUAGAAAUGGAAAUACACGUGAGACAUUCAUAAUAUUAUACGCAAAGAAAGAGCAAAAUGAACCCUUGUUCGACUAACAAUGCUUUCACAUGAAACGGGGAAUUUUUUUUUUUGGGUUUUUUGGUAGAUGAAAUGGGGAAUUAAUGAUCAACAUAUAAGCAUUUAAUGUUAUUCCUAAUUUGAUUCUUGUUAUUG